rnacentral:snRNA from 1 species
AUAGUUACCUGGCAGGGAAGGUACCAUGGUCACAAAGCUGGUUUCCCAGGGCCAGACUUGUUCGUGGUACCCCAGACAUGUUGACCCUUGAGAGUUCCCCCAAUGUGGGAUAAAUUGUGCAAGCAGGGGACUUUACUCUCCUC